UGGUGGAGUGAUUUGUCAGGUUAAUUCCGUUAACGAACGAGACCUCAGCCUAUUAACUAGAGUUUUUCAUCAAAUUUUGAUGGGAAAGUGCUUCUUAGAGGGACUAUCGGUUUCCAGCCGAUGGAAGUAUGAGGCAAUAACA
rnacentral:rRNA from 1 species